rnacentral:rRNA from 1 species
CCUGACUGCUAUCGGAUUGAUACUAAGCCAUGCGAGUCAUUGUAGUAAUACAAGGCGGACGGCUCAGUAACGCGUAGUCAACCUAACCUAUGGACGGGAAUAACCUCGGGAAACUGAGUAUAAUGCCCGAUAGAACAUUAUGCCUGGAAUGGUUUAUGUUCCAAAUGAUUUAUCGCCGUAGGAUGGGACUGCGGCCUAUCAGUUUGUUGGUGAGGUAAUGGCCCACCAAGACUAUUACAGGUACGGGCUCUGAGAGGAGUGGCCCGGAGAUGGGUACUGAGACACGGACCCAGGCCCUAUGGGGCGCAGCAGGCGAGAAAACUUUGCAAUGUGCGAAAGCACGACAAGGUUAAUCCGAGUGGUUUCUGCUAAAGGAACCUUUUGUCGGUCCUAGAAACACCGAUGAAUAAGGGGUGGGCAAGUUCUGGUGUCAGCCGCCGCGGUAAAACCAGCACCUCAAGUGGUCAGGAUGAUUAUUGGGCCUAAAGCAUCCGUAGCCGGCUUUGUUAGUUUUCGGUUAAAUCUGUACGCUUAACGUACAGGCUGCCGGGAAUACUGCAAAGCUAGGGAGUGGGAGAGGUAGACGGUACUCGGUAGGAAGGGGUAAAAUCCUUUGAUCUAUUGAUGACCACCUGUGGCGAAGGCGGUCUACCAGAACACGUCCGACGGUGAGGGAUGAAAGCUGGGGGAGCAAACCGGAUUAGAUACCCGGGUAGUCCCAGCUGUAAACUAUGCAAACUCAGUGAUGCAUUGGCUUGUGGCCAAUGCAGUGCUGCAGGGAAGCCGUUAAGUUUGCCGCCUGGGAAGUACGUACGCAAGUAUGAAACUUAAAGGAAUUGGCGGGGGAGCACCACAAGGGGUGAAGCCUGCGGUUC